rnacentral:tRNA from 1 species
GGUCAGAUGGCCGAGCGGUCUAAGGCGUGAGUGACAGGCGUGAGUUCGAAUCUCACUCUGAUCA